CAGCAGCCGCGGUAAAACGUAGGGCGCAAGCGUUGUCCGGAAUUAUUGGGCGUAAAGAGCUCGUAGGCGGUCUGUCGCGUCUGGUGUGAAAUCCCGAGGCUCAACCUCGGGCUUGCAUCGGGUACGGGCAGACUAGAGUGCGGUAGGGGAGACUGGAAUUCCUGGUGUAGCGGUGGAAUGCGCAGAUAUCAGGAGGAACACCGAUGGCGAAGGCAGGUCUCUGGGCCGCAACUGACGCUGAGGAGCGAAAGCAUGGGGAGCGAACAGGAUUAGAUACCCCGGUAGUCCCUGUCUCUUAUAC
rnacentral:rRNA from 1 species